GAGUAGUUCGGUUGACGAGGACUAAGGACUUCGCCAUUUUUCUCGCUCGAAACCCUAACCGUCGUUACCGCUGCUUUGGUGAUCAACCGAGAGGCGAGAGCCGGAGAGGACGACGAGUUUCGUGGGGACUGGGACCGAAAGGUUGGCCACAACGACGAGUUCCGUGGGGGUGGGGACCGGGAAGGUCACCACCACCACCAUGGCCACGACGACGAGGUCAGGGGCUGCCACCGGGAUUUUCACCGUCGCCCUUAGGUUAACCCAGUGGAGGGCACAAAGUGCCUAUUCAAGAACAAGACGAAGCCUAGAGGCUGGAACAGAACACGUUCAAAGUUUGACAUUAUACAAACAAGGGUCAAGCCAGCUCCCAAGCUGGCGGGAGAACAAGCAAUUCGUACAUCAAACUUACAAACUAUUGGUGUUGGAAUCAAGAAUAUUGACUACAACAAAAUUCAUACCUAUAUACCGAACUUAUCACUUAUGUGUGUAGACUAGUUAUCAUAGAUACCCAGAUUUCGUCACAUUAAGUCUACGGUAGCUAGACACUGUAAUAAGUUCAACAUACAGCUCCAAUUUGUACUCUACGCACACCGUUCCAGUUUGUGUCUUAUAUACAACUCC
rnacentral:rRNA from 1 species